AGAGUUUGAUCCUGGCUCAGAAUGAACGUUGGCGGUAUGGAUUAGGCAUGCAAGUCGCGCGAGAACUGAAGGAGCUUGCUCUAGAUGGGAAAGCGGCGUAAGGGAGAGUAACAGGUAGAUACCUGCCCUCAGGUUUGGGAUAGCUUCGGGAAACUGGCAACUGUCAGUAAUACCAAAUAACAUCUCCGGAUCAAAACUCCGGCGCCUGAGGAUGGAUCUGCUCACUAUUAGCUUGUUGGUGGGGUAAUGGCCUAACAAGGCAACGAUGGUUAGCGGGCGUGAGAGCGUGGCCCGCCUCACUGGGACUGAGACACUGCCCAGACACCUACGGGUGGCUGCAGUCGAGAAUCUUCGGCAAUGGGCGCAAGCCUGACCGAGCGAUACCGCGUGCGGGAUUAAGGCCUUCGGGUUGUAAACCGCUGUCAGAGGGAAGGAAAUUUUGACCGAACCUCAGAGGAGACCGAACCUCAGAGGAAGGACGGGCUAAGUUCGUGCCAGCAGCCGCGGUAAGACGAACCGUCCGAACGUUAUUCGGAAUUACUGGGCUUAAAGGAUGCGUAGGCGGCCUUGCAAGUCAGGUGUGAAAUCCCACGGCUCAACCGUGGAACUGCGCUUGAAACUGCAAGGCUUGAGGGAGAUAGAGGUGAGCGUAACUGAUGGUGGAGCGGUGAAAUGCGUUGAUAUCAUCAGGAACACCGGUGGCGAAGGCGGCUUACUGGGUCUCUUCUGACGCUGAGGAACGAAAGCUAGGGGAGCGAACGGGAUUAGAUUCCCCGGUAGUCCUAGCUGUAAACGAUGAGUACUGGAUCGAGGGGGCCUCCACACCUUCUCGGACGUAGCGAAAGUGUUAAGUGCUCCGCCUGGGGAGUAUGGUCGCAAGGCUGAAACUCAAAGGAAUUGACGGGGGCUCACACAAGCGGUGGAGGAUGUGGCUUAAUUCGAGGCUACGCGAAGAACCUUAUCCAGGCCUUGACAUAGUUGGAUGCUGCCCAUGAAAGCGGGUUAGUUGCCUUCGGGUGAAACUACUACAGGUGCUGCAUGGCUGUCGUCAGCUCGUGUCGUGAGAUGUCGGGUUAAGUCCCUUAACGAGCGAAACCCUUGUCCUUAGUUGCCAGCGCGUUAUGGCGGGGACUCUAAGGAGACUGCCGGUGUUAAACCGGAGGAAGGUGGGGAUGACGUCAAGUCCUCAUGGCCUUUAUGGCCUGGGCUGCACACGUCCUACAAUGGCAUAUACAGAGGGACGCAAACUCGCGAGAGCAAGCAAAUCCCAAAAAGCGCGCCUCAGUUCGGAUAGUAGGCUGCAACUCGCCUACUUGAAGCCGGAAUCGCUAGUAAUCGCGGGUCAGCAUACCGCGGUGAAUGUGUUCCUGAGCCUUGUACACCCCGCCCGUCAAGCCACGAAAGUGGGGGGGGCUUAAAGUCGCUGAGGUAACCCGCAAGGGAGCUAAGCGCCUAGAGUCAACUCCGUGAUUGGGACUAAGUCGUAACAAGGUAACC
rnacentral:rRNA from 1 species